GGUAAUUGCUGCUGGCUAGUCUGAAGGAGCUGCAGCUCAGAGGAGGAGCUAGGUCCACCCGGGCGUUUUUGCACAGCUGAAUGGUCGCCAUGGGAGAUCAGAUCAGAGGAUUUCUCAAACAACUCUCUGGGUCUGCAUUGGGAUGAUCCAAGAUGACCUGGCUGAUGACAGCAGAGGCUGUGAUAAGACCAGCAGAACAGGCCCGUCACGUCUGUGCGCUCCGCCUCAGAGAGGCGCCGAAAUCAAGCUGUCAGCGGCCGGCCGGGUCGAGGGAGCCACCGAUGGGGAGGAGAGGCGGCUCCGCGUUCUCUCGUUUCCGCCCCAGAGCCCAUCGCAGCAGGUGCCAGCGCCGAGGAAAUGGAUCUUUCUCUUACGCCGUCGUGUUUCCAUCGCCGCUUCGGAGGACGCCGCGUUGACUUGCAUCCAUUUUCUGGAAACUUCCCCAAAUCGUAAAACUCGAGUCGCCACCCAGAUGGAGGGAGA